rnacentral:tRNA from 1 species
GACCUUAUAUUCAAUUAUGAUUUUAGACUGCAAUUCUAAAGGUGUAAAUAUUUACUAAGGCCU